GACGAACGCUGGCGGCGUGCCUAAUACAUGCAAGUAGAACGCUGAAGGAGGAGCUUGCUUCUCCGGAUGAGUUGCGAACGGGUGAGUAACGCGUAGGUAACCUGCCUGGUAGCGGGGGAUAACUAUUGGAAACGAUAGCUAAUACCGCAUAACAGUAGAUGUUGCAUGACAUUUGCUUAAAAGGUGCAAUUGCAUCACUACCAGAUGGACCUGCGUUGUAUUAGCUAGUUGGUGAGGUAACGGCUCACCAAGGCGACGAUACAUAGCCGACCUGAGAGGGUGAUCGGCCACACUGGGACUGAGACACGGCCCAGACGCCUACGGGAGGCAGCAGUAGGGAAUCUUCGGCAAUGGACGGAAGUCUGACCGAGCAACGCCGCGUGAGUGAAGAAGGUUUUCGGAUCGUAAAGCUCUGUUGUAAGAGAAGAACGAGUGUGAGAGUGGAAAGUUCACACUGUGACGGUAUCUUACCAGAAAGGGACGGCUAACUACGUG
rnacentral:rRNA from 1 species